GACGAACGCUGGCGGCGUGCUUAACACAUGCAAGUCGAACGGAAAGGCCUGCUUUCCCUUGUGGAUUGCGGGUACUCGAGUGGCGAACGGGUGAGUAACACGUGAGUGAUCUGCCCCCAACUUGGGUAUAAGCCUGGGAAACUGGGCCUAAUUCCCGAUAGGACUGCAGGGUGGUGCCUGUGGUGGAAAACGAUUUUCUAGUGGUUGGGGAUGAGCUCGCGGGCUAUCAGCUUGUUGGUGGGGUAAUGGCCUACCAAGGCGGCGACGGGUAGCCGGCCUGAGAGGGUGGACGGGCACAUUGGGACUGAGAUACGGCCCAGACUCCUACGGGAGGCAGCAGUGGGGAAUAUUGCACAAUGGGCGGAAGCCUGAUGCAGCGACGCCGCGUGGGGGAUGACGGCCUUCGGGUUGUAAACUCCUUUCGACCGCGAGGAAGCCACCUGGUUGGAAGGGUGGUGACGGUAGUGGUAGAAGAAGCACCGGCUAACUACGUG
rnacentral:rRNA from 1 species